GCUGGGGUGGUGAGACGGUUAACUCGCCAGGCUGGCAGGCUCCCGGCGUCUACUCCAUCGGAGGCCGAGAUGGAGACGAUGCGAGCACAGAGGCUGCAGCCUGGGGUGGGCACCGGCGGGAGGGGCACUCUGCGAGCGCUGAGGCCCGGAGUGACCGGGGCCGCGGCUGUCGCCACCACACCCCCAGCGGGCCCUCCGCCGGCCCCGCCGCCCCCUGCCCCGCCCCCGCUGCUCCUGUCUGGGGGCCCUGGGCUGCCCCUGCCCCCAGGCGCCGCCGGCAGCCCCGCGGUGCUGCGGGAAGCGGUGGAGGCUGUGGUGAGGAGCUUCGCCAAGCACACGCAGGGCUACGGCCGAGUGAAUGUGGUUGAGGCACUUCAGGAAUUCUGGCAGAUGAAGCAGUCCCGUGGGGCUGACUUGAAGAAUGGGGCUCUAGUGGUUUAUGAGAUGGUACCCUCCAACAGCCCUCCAUAUGUCUGCUAUGUCACCCUGCCUGGGGGAAGUUGCUUUGGGAGUUUCCAGUUUUGCCCCACAAAAGCUGAGGCCCGGCGGAGUGCUGCAAAGAUUGCACUAAUGAACUCUGUGUUUAAUGAACAUCCUUCCCGGAGAAUCACUGAUGAGUUCAUUGAGAAGAGUGUCUCUGAGGCCCUGGCAUCUUUCAAUGGCAACAAGGAGGAGGCUGACAACCCAAACACAGGGAUUGGUGCUUUCCGAUUCAUGUUGGAAUCCAACAAGGGCAAGUCAAUGUUGGAGUUCCAGGAGCUAAUGACAGUUUUCCAACUGCUGCACUGGAAUGGCAGCCUUAAGGCCAUGAGAGAAAGACAGUGCUCUCGACAGGAGGUGUUGGCGCAUUAUUCACACCGAGCCCUGGAUGAUGAUAUUCGCCACCAAAUGGCAUUGGACUGGUUUCCGAGGUGCCUAGAGCGUGAGCGGUAGCGAUGAGAGCUACAACGAAGGCAGAAUGGCGGACGUGUCCGAUUUUCUUGAGGCUGGAAGCGAGGACUUCGCCAUGGAUGAAGAUAGGGACGAGAGCAUCCACAAAUUGAAAGAAAAAGCAAAGAAACGGAAAGGCCGAGGCUUUGGCUUCGAAGAGGGAUGCCGAGCGCGGAUGCGUGAAGAUUACGACAGCGUGGAGCAGGAUGGCAAUGAACCCAGACCACAACACUGUUGGUGAAGUGAACCUAUGGGGAUCUGUGUCCUUAAGCAGUUCGGACCCAUAAAGUAAAACCGAGUCGGAAUGGGGUCAGAGAUAGUCUGAGAAAGCAGUAGAGUCUGCAGUUUCUCUACUCUCAUAGUCCUAUUUAGAGUUGUUUUUUUUUUUUCCUUGUAUUCAAACCACCUCCAUCUUCCCCACUGCCCCACCAACAUCUGUUGAAGGCUGGAUUCUCUUUGUCAUUGGAGUUCAUGAGGAAGUUACCAAAGACAUCCAUGGUAAAUAUGCAGAAUAUGGAGAAAUAAAAAACAUCCACCUCAACCUAGACAGGUGGAAAGUAUGUGACAUUACAUUGCUUCCCUUUCCGCAUAACCUUUAGAUAGAAUUAGGGGAGCAUACUUGAUAUUUGAUAUGCUUGACCAGUAGAAAAGUUGAAGUAAAAUGAUAUUGGAAAUUGAUUUUUUCAGACAUGGCAAAUAGGCAAAUAUAGAGAAACAUAUACAUUAUGUAGACAACAGGGUUGCAUGACGUAUGGUAAUUUUUUUCAGUGUGUAGAUUUUCCUAUUUAAAUUGAGUUUAGGUAUGAGAAAGAUGAUACCCAGUGACUCUUGGUGACAUAGGAGCAUUUUGGUAUGUCUUUUUACAUCCCCUAGGAGUAUACUCUGGUUGAGUAUGAAACAUGCAGGGAGGCCCAGGCUGCCAUGGAGGGACUCAAUGGCCAGGAUUUGAUGGGACAGCCCAUCAGCGUUGACUGGUGUUUUGUUCCGGGUCUGCCCAAGAGCAAGACGAGGUAAGGUGGAGGGAGGAGUGACUAUCUUGGUAAGGGAAUGUGAGCAGAACAGAACAACGGCUUUGUAGGAUGUCACUCUGAUGGACCCUGCCUUCUUCUCCUGUUCUCUAGAGGUGGUCGAAGACACAGCACGUGUCCAGACUGGAGAUGGCGCUGAUGGGUCCUCUGUUGUCCAGAUGUUCUCUGCUGAGAUUCCAUUUGACCAUGCAGCCCUGGAGAAGUUGGGCUAGGGUAGAACUUGCUGUGUUUAUGUUUAGUCUGUCGCCCUACCUGCUUUGUGUUUGAGUUGUGAAUAAAUGUCCCAGUUUUGUUUUCUAUGUUUAAAGUUUUCUGCUCUAACUAGAGUUGAAGGUUCUGGAGCACUAUUCACAAUAAGGCAGUAUGGGUCAUUGUGAACAUACUUCACCCAGGGAAUGAAUUCUCUGUGGCUUUUUACAUUGGAUAUAGUCUUAAAUAUCAUCUGGAGUCAGAAUAUAGGCACUGCUGGGUGUUUUUUUCUUAGAAGUUAAAAGACUGAGAGUAGCAGUGAGAUGUACUAAUGGUAUUAGAGAAUAUUCUGUUCCUGUGUACUCUGUCCUGAGGAAACGGAUGUUACAGUAGUGUCUUUUUGGUUUCUCCUGUCCUCCUUGUUGCCACAUUUGUGUGUGCUUCUAGCUGUCUUGGGCAUCCUGCCAGACUGUCCCCCCUGGAGGACUCUGCCUGGUUCUUGGUGCCGCCUUUGGCAGCCAAGCAUGGAGGCCCCAUAGAAUAGAGGAUCCAGAGGAGUGCUGAGGAGGCCAAAGAGGAAAAGGAUGCGGCUGAGGCUGGGGGUGACUUCAGUUAGCAUGGUGGGGGAGAACCACUACCACAGACCCAGCAGGUAAUAAGGUGUCCAGCAGAGGACAAAGGUCAGCAAGACAAGGAGGGCCAGUUGCAGGGCCCUCAGGCGGACCCAAGGCCAAUUGUGUAAGGAGCAGUGGAGUGCAAAUCUAUCGGCAGGGGCUGGGAAUUUAGAAAAUAUACUCGGUUCAGAGCCACUUAGUUUCUGAAAGGAGUAUAAAAUGAAUUAGUGGAGGGGCAGUGACAAUGAGAUGGAGCUCUGCCCCCACCAUUGGAAAUAAAUGCUGCAAACCCCCUUCCCCUUCCCAACCUGGUACUCCAUGAUCCCUCCCCCCAGGGAUUGUGGCCAGCACGCUAAGGAAUGAGUUUUGAUCACGGUGCUGUGUUACAUAUGAAGUCCCCACGUCUGUCUCCAGGCUUUAGUGUCACAGAGUAAAGGAAAAUACAGAUCACCUUCAUCCUGAAUCCUUGCCCAGCUAACUUCAGACGACUAGAGAGUACUCAGAAUCAAAUGCAUUCAGUAAAAUGAUCUGUAGCAUCAGGUGCUGGAGAUAAUGGUGAGAUCUCAGUUUGGAUUAGUGACUGGUAGACAGCUGUCAGGUAGAGAGCUAGAUAAUUAGGCUAGAGGCAACAGCUUUAAGGGUGAGGAUUAGGGCCUGGGAUUGGAAUCUCACCAUGGUUGCUUUUCCUUGUCUGCAGCAUAUACACACUGAGAACAAUACGGCUAUAGCAGAUGGCCAUGGCAGCAUGAAGAGGCAGCAGAAGGUACUAUCUGUUUUCCCUCAUCGUGAAUUUGAUCUGGGAUGCCUGUGCGAUUCACCUACUGAUGGAACAAGAGCCUUCAGCUUGUAGCCGGCAGCUGAACGGUUCCAGGGGAAGAGCCCCAGAAGGAAUUGAAACUGGUGGUCCUGGGGAACCAGGGAUUCCAGGAGGAGGCCUGCCCCAGCUGACUCUGAAGCUUUGGCUGCAAAUCCUACUUGGGUCCUUCAAGGUCAUCCCCUGCUUCUGCUGGAUGUGGUCAGAAAUGCUUGUGAUUCCUUUAUUCCACUGGACAAACUAGGCCUCUGGUUCUGUGGCCCCAGUAUUGUGGGGCUUUGGGGCCUUGUGCCUAUUUUCACCCUAAUCUAUCCUUGGCUAUGACUCAAGCUGUGACAUUCUGGUGCAGGAUAAGGAGGGGACCUGAAUUGGUGAGAUGGCAUCUUAGAUCGCCCCUGAUGUACCAGCCUUGUUCUAACUCUGUCCUUGGUUGAAGUUCAGAUCCAGAGAUUUGUGGUGGAGGGAGAAGCUUUGGGAAUGAUGAGGUGAGGAGAGGAAAGGUGACUCUUAAAGUCAAUAGGAUGAAUCUGAUGUCCAAAUCUGCCUGAGCUUUUGUUCUUUUCCUCCUUUAUUACAUUGUCUUUGUCUCCCUUGAUUCUUUUUACUUUGUUCUUCUUACAUUUUUUAAGAUUCUGUCUGUAUGUAUCUCUUUAUCUUCUCAGUCCCCUGUUCUAGGAAUUUAAUCAGCAGCAGCAUUACCUUUUGGGGAGAAGAAGGGGUGAUAGAAGUUUUGCUCUGAACUGUGUUCUUUUCCUCGCAGAGGUGGCUUGUGGUAGAUUCUCACCUACCCCCCCCAUCAUAAUUUUGAGACUUUAUGUCCCAGAGCACUCUCCCCCAAUCUCUGCUCCAAGGGUUGUUUGAUACUUCCGCUUCCUCCCUCAUGUCUGCCUCAUCAAACUCCCUCAUGACUUGCCCCUUAUCCUUCCCUUGAAUCACAGCUACAGAUUUGUGCUUGCACUUCCGUUUCAGAGAUUUGUUCCCAGUUUCUUCUUACCUCCUCUUUGUCUACUCAGAAUGAUGUCUCUGGCAUCUUGCUGUAAAUACUGUGCAGUGAAUCUAAAUAGCUGUGGCCCGUGCCCAAGAUGGAGAGCAAGCCUUCCAGGCCAGCAAAUUAAAGAUCAGUUUGCUCAUCCACGUUUGGUCUGAUCCGUUGUGUUCUGGUUAUCUGAGACUCCUGUUUUUGUCACCAUGGUUUGGGUUUUCCAUUGGCCACUAGCAUGAUCAUCCACAGAUUUUUUUUUUGGGUGUGCUACAUGUGUGUUUGUAUAUGUGUUUGUGUAUCAAAACAUUUGUCGUUUCAACAUUUUUUUCAUCCACAGAAUUUUAGUACCUACCAUGUGCAGGACAUCGUGUAAGAUGGUAGAGAUACAAAAUACUAAGAAGCUCCACGGAUGCAACUUCAAGGACUUCAUAGCUCAGGUGAGGAGAUGGAGUCUAAUGGUAAAGUAAUCUGGUUCCACAGACCCAUCCCACACCAGUCUAUAGUCCCUCCAGGCAGCAUAGACUUAAGUGCCACAAGCAGAAGUAAGUGGAAUGGGGCUGGCAAGGCUUGGUUUGUGGCCGUGGCUUCACAUGUUGGGACUCCCCUGGGUGGGUGGGGAUGUGAUAUCACUGUUAUCAACGCUUUCAUUUUCCAUAUCGCAGGUUGGGAUAAAUAAGGUUAUGAAAUAAAAAGACUCUUAUCUCUUACUCAUACCUUCUGUUCCAAACCUGAGUAAAUCAGUAUUGAACUGGGAACAACAAAAAAUUUAAAAAAGUGAAAAGAAACAGCAGAAGUGGUCAAGAAAUGUGUUCUCUCUGUAUUUUGAGAUGAGGCCUCCAGGGGGCAGCACUAAGGCAAAGAAAUACAGUAGUCCCCCCUUAUUUUCAGUUCACUUUCUCCUUCACAGUGCUUGUGUUCAAGUAACCCUUGUUUUACUUAAUGCCCCAAAGCUCAAGAGUAAUGAUGCUGGCAAUUUGAAUAUGCCAAGGAGAAACCAUAAAGUGUUUCUAUUUUAUUUAUUAGUGUUGUUAAUUUCUUACUGUGCUUAAUUUAUAAAUUAAACUUUAUCAUAGGUACAUACGUAUAGGAAAAAACAUAGUACGUAAAGAUUUCGGUACGAUCUACAGUUUCAGGCAUCCACUGGGGGUCUUGGAACGUAUCCCUCACAGAUAAGAGGGGACUACAGUACACUGAAACCACUGAGUCCUCCUUCCCUUGGUCUGGGGCUCCCCACAGUUCUCUACCAUCACUCCUCCCAUUCCUUCCAACUUUAUUUUUAGCCACCAGUAGGAGGGGGUAGGAUGGGAGGGAAAGUAAAGAAAAUAGAAAAGGAGAAGGACAGAGGCACAAGAGACUUCUGCGGACAGAAGAACAUCCAGGCAUGGAGCUCCCCCUCAUCCCUCAUCUGUUCUUGCUCCUAGUGUUCCUGACCAAUGAGGGAGCUUAACUUCUUGGUUUCUGAUGGGAGUGAAAGAUGUAUGAAAUUGUUUGGCAUUGGGACCUUUAGGGUUGAAAUUCUUUGGGAGUUAGGGUGGGAGGUUAAGGAUUAUUUUUAUAGACUGUGUGUGUGUGUUUGCACACAUAUAGCCUUGGGCUCUUAUGCCCACACGUUUGAUUGUUUUGGCAGGGGUCUGAGGCUGUCUAGAUUCUUGGAUAAGUCCAGUUACUUAAAACUUUGCUUCUAAGCCCUGGAGGAAUAAAGAAAUGGAAAAGACCUUACAUGCAGCUAGUCUGAUUUCUGUUGUCUCCUGCCUUUCCCCUAUUUUUUCCCCCUUCCAAGGAGCUCUGGUGGCACAGUGGUUAAGUGCUCAGCCGCUAACCAAAAGUUUGGUGGUUUGAACCCACCAGCCUCUCCACGGGAGGAUGUGGGAGUCUACUUCCAUUAAGAUCUACAGCCUUGGGAACGCUGUGGGGCAGUUCUACUCUGUUCUACAGGGUCACUGUGAGUUGGAAUCAACUCCAUGGCGAUGGUUUGUUUUUCGGUGGUCCAGGGGGCCUGAGGCAUGAUUUACUAACCAGUGUGGACAGAACUCUGAGCUUGUUUAACCAGUGAGCUAUAGUUCUGGUCAUAUAGCCCUUGCCAGUAUCCUGGAUGCAAAAAUGUCUCAUACAGAACAUUCUUUUGAAAAUGGAUAUGGCUUGGGAUAAAGCUAUAGCCAGUCUUGGUGAUGGUGGUGGUCUGAGAAAGAGGUGCUUGAAAGGAAGGAGUAAGACAGUAGGGGGAGGAACCCUAGGAGGGACAAGAGGCCUGCAUUUUUCUCUCACCAGUGGUUUGUAAUCUUUUUCCUAAAAUACCAGCUCUGAGUUUAAAAGGGUUAGGGCAGGGAGGGAAGAAUCAGCCAGGACAUGAUGGGGUCUUUUAGAGGGACCACAGACUGGGGAAGCCAUGGAGGUAGGCAGAGGAGCAGUUGGGAGGGUGGGUGAGUUAGAAAGGAAGAGGGUUGUGGGGAACUUUGGGGUGGUGGGACCCUUGGCAAGGAUGGAUGGCAAACCAUGUGUGUGGGCAGGCGAGUGGCCCCACCCACUUAAUUACCACUGAAGUGUCCAGGGCUUGGAUCAACCAGAGAUCUAAACAUUGGAGAAAGAGAGAGUGUGACAAUGGCACUGGAAGUCAAGAAGAGAUGGGAAGAGGAGAGACUCAGACAGACGGUGGUCCCUAGCCCCCUCUUGUUCUCCCUGUGGCCCUGUUUUGGGAGAAAUUGAAAGGAAUGAUUAUGCUGGGGCUACAGAAAGGCCCUUCCCUCCUUGGACCGUCAGUUUCGGAAGGAGGAUGUGUAGGAGGAAUGAUGUGGAAAAGAGUAAGUUGACCCUCCAGAUGUGUGUGAAUGAGAUUUCAGGGCUGGAGUGGAGACACAGCUGUGCAUCAGCAUGGCUGAGGGCCACAGGUUAGACAUCUGGACCCAAGCACAGGAAGGAGAUCAUCUGUGCUUGAGUUCUGACUACAUGACAUUGACAGAAUCCAGGAGAGCUGGAGUCAGAAGCAGGCAGAUAGACUGAGAUCAGCGUUCCUCACUGCUUCUCUCUGGCUGUGUCUCUGGGCUGUCAUUGGCCUUUGACUGCUUCAUGCUAACCUUAUGAUCCUAGCCCCUGCCCCCACCCCCGCCAUGUCUGCUCCGCCUUUAACCUGGAUGUGCAUCGCCCACGCCUGUUCCGUGGGCCAGUCGAUGCUGAGUAUGGAUACAGUGUCCAAUAGUGUAGAAACGUUUAGGGAAAGGGAAAUACCCAGUGUGUAGUAGCCAAGUAAGUGGCUUUAGGUCACUUUGUGAAAGAAGUGGGGAAAUCUCUCCCAUAUACAGUUGCCAUAGAGUUACGGGGUCUUUCCUGGGGACCCUGUGUUUUGAGUCCUUACGUUACAGGUCUGAAAAGUAGCUAAAUUUGGAAACUUUGCAAGAGAUCAUGGUUUUUGUUUUUUUUUUCUCUUUUAAUCAUAGCUACCUUCAGCCUUCUGAUACCCAUGCUUGAUGUCUUUUGACUGCAUAGAUUAAACUUUGCCAUUUUGGCCUAUUAUUUAUCUUGCCUCCUAAGGAUGCCUUGUUCUAGUAACCUUUUUUUUUUUUUUUUUAACUCUAUGGGUCAGCCCUGCUGGCUGCCACUAUGAUCUUGCCUCUCAUUAUAAUUAUCCUCACCUUAAACUUGAGAUGUUUAAGCACUACCACCUGACUUAUUUCUGGAUUAUAUCAUUGCCAUUGUUUUUGGGAAGUCCAGAUUUAUAAUGCCAUCUCCUAUUUUCCAGUCUGGCCUAGGGGACAGCCAGAAUCAAGUUUUUCAGUGAUGCUGGUUCCGUUCUCACUAGUGCAUUCCUUAUUGCUUUGGAAAAGAUUGUUCACUGGGCUCUGUGGAACAGCAUCAUAUGAUGGGUUUCUCAGCCCUACAGUGGAAUAUCCAUUUCAGCAUGACUACUUCUCCAUCUUUUGAUUCCUUCGUCAGUCAUCUCAGGGCCCAUAACUUUAAGUGAUGCUGGAGGAAGGCUUAAUGUCUAGAGCUUGGAUGUGUAUGUUAUUUUUGCCAGUUAACAGAAUUGUUCUGUGAUGUAUCAUUUCUGUCUCAUUGACUAUGCAAAGGCAUUUAACUGUGUGGAUCUUUUAACAAAUUAAGGAUAACAUUGCCAGAAUAGGAAUUCCAAAACAGUUGCACUCACGAGAAACCU